UUGCCCACCAUAAGAUGAUCUCAUAGAUUUAUUUUUACCCUCUUAAAUUUAAAUAGCUAUCCAUAAAGGGGACUUCGAAACUAAGGAAUGUCAUAGCCAUAAGUUGAUUUGUCAUUCCAUUCUGCAAAAAGAGGGCAGGUUGGUAUUAUAUUUUGUCAACAAAAUUAUCAUUUGAAACGACAUCGUGUCGUAAAAGAAGGAAAAAUAAAUAAAUUACUCAGCUGUCCGAAACGCAGCCUAUGAGGAAAGGCUGAGGCUGAGAAGAUAAUCCUUGUCGUUUGCUGGCCAACAAUGGCUCUACGGCUUCUGAAGCUUCCCGACGACAUCAUCAUCUCGCGCAGUUCCAUUACCAACUCAACUUACUUUUCUUAUUCUCUUUCCUACUUUAAUAAGCUUUCCGGUGUGUAUCUCUGCCUUCUCUUUAUCUGUUUUAUAGUUUAUCGUACGUAACUCUGAAAAAGACUUGGUUAGGAAUUUUCACAAACACCUGUUGGGCUCCAGGGUAUCCAGGUAUUGAUGGAGUUGUGGAUAGAAAUUGGCCAAAUGCGAUUCAAAAUUGAAACCCCUUAUUCCUUAAUGUCAUGUCUUUCACAAAAAUUUUUGCUUUUUGCUCUAACAGUUUGAUUAUUUCUUGUUAUGUUUCUGUUUCCAGUGAGAUGGGUUGGAGCCCAGAAGCGUAGUCCCUAUCGAAGCUUUACCGUUGUGAAGUCGGCAAAAGUUCAAGCAUCCAAGAAGUUUGCGGAUUGUGUAGAUGCUUAUACAUAAUCCAUCCCAGAGAGCAAUCAUGGAAUAAGCAAUAGUGCAAGUAAUUUAUCCUUUAAAAAAAGUAUGUGUCCCAAUUCUUGGGCAGUUGAGCUCUGCAACACUCAAAAGAGAUUGGAUUGCCUGGAAGAUAGAAGACACAAAACCAUAUGUGCCAUGAAAGCUCCACUUGUUCUUGAUGCAGAGGAUAAGCAAACACAAAAGUUCAAGUUAGAGAUUGGCUUGAGAAGCUUCAGGAUGUCAUAUAACUUGUUGGAAGAGUUUCACACUUAAGCUUUCUGGCAUAGAUGGUGUAAAGUAGGUAAGCAUUUUCUUCUCAAGUUCAAAUCAAUUUGCUUUUAGGAUAAAGAUGGGUCAUUACUCACACCAUACAAGUUUUCAGAGAGACACCAUUUGAGAUUACAGGCAAUAGAAGCUUUCACUUCAUUAGAUAGACAACAAAGUAUUACCUUUUUAUCAAGCUAUUAAGCAAAUUAAGUAUUUCCAUUUGUUCUGAAUAAACUUAAAUAAAACUCAUUUUAACAGUAUAUGUAUGUGGCGGGCACAUACACACAUAUUUUCUGCUGCAAAUGUUUAUUUUGGGUUUCCUAAGGCCAUGUUUUUUAGUCAAAAGGGGAAAAAAAAAAUUUUUUAAAAGUUAGGCUAGGUAUAAAAAGAGUGGAUUUUCUUUUUCUUUCUUUUCUUAUUUUUUCCACCUGAAAUAGUUUUAAAAGAAGCAAGAAUGCGAGUACUACAUUAAUGCAAGAAAUAUGUAGCAGUAAUCAUUGGCAUCUUUGACUGCUUGGUUGCAAGUAUCUGUUUGUAGGAAAUUGGAAGGACCGCCACAGAGAACAACGUAGCAUGACUGAGAAGCAGGUUAUAAAGGUUGGACUAAGCUGUUGACAAAGUUAAUCGAAAUGAUUAGCCAUGGUGUGCUAUUUUGAGUUCACAGUUUUGUUGUCCUUGAAUCCCAUUAUAACAUUUUAAUAGCUAGAUUAGGCAUUUACACAAGUAUAUAGUUAAUCAUGCUUUCCUUUCAUGCUAUCUCUGGACUGUUAUACAAGAUGUUUUUCUAUUUUUAUGAUGCAAAUAUUAAUAUUAUAUAUAUAUAUAUAUUCAAUAUAUGACUAACAUCUGUUCUUGAGUUGUCUUAUUCGACUGGAUUAAUGUUUGGAGGUGGACUAGCUGACUUUGAAGUGGGCUACUUGAAGAUUCAGCUGCUGAUGACAGUACUGUAAGGUUUACCUUUAGCAAAAAAUGUCAGGACAGAAGGUGAAUAUUCCAAAAGUUUUGGCAUUUAGUACUAAAACAUGUUUCUUCAACUCUUGCCUUGUCCAGAGAAAUAUCAAGCAGCAGGCAUAUCUUUCCUUCUAUUCUUUUUAUCCUUGUCUAGAGAACCAUCAAGCAGCAGGCAUAUUUUUCCUUCAUUCUUUUUAUAUUAAGAAAAUCAUUUCCUUUUACUUUAGAAUAUUCCAAAAUUUAUUGUUUUCAAAAGUACACAUAUACUUUUAACUUUUAUUUAUUUAUUUAUUUUUUUUUUAGCCCUUUGGUAUUUUAAAAUCUUUGAGUUUUUCUAGUUAGAUCGACAACUUGGAGAAUGAAAUAUACAUGUUCGCUAGAACAUGUUCCAAGAAUGAUAAUAGAUUUCUCUCUUUCAUGCAAAGAUGUCAUGUUUCUACAGGAACUUUAUAUACAUAAAUCUCUUUUGGAAACUAAAUCAAUUUGCAUCUCUUACUUUUAUUUCAAUCUCCAUUGAUAACUGUUUUAUCAAAAAAAAAAAAAAAAAAAAAAUCUCCAUUCUUAACUGUCUACUCUUUCUUGGAUUCCAUUAUAUCAUCAUCAAGUUUCCUGUGUUAGCUUCAAAUAUUAAAGUAUUGACUGCUUUCAAUGUGACCAUAAAUUUGUAGUGCUUUGUGCCAUUCUGGCUUCACUCCUUCCAUUACUAAAGUGUGUAUGUUCUCUAUUUGUUUGUUUGUGUGUUCCGUUGUAUUUCUCUGUUUAUACAAUUAAAAGUGAUGUGAAUUCUUUCGUCAUGUUGGCAGACUUGUGUUCUUAAGUUCAGUCAUCAAACAAUGCCAUUCAACCAAAAGGGUAAAAACAGAACCUUAAGAGAAGCCAUGCUUUUGAAGCUGACUCAGCAAGAUUCUGUUUUAUCAAUUAGAGGGCUUGGCUGCGUUUAAAGGUGGAGGAAAAUCUCUCAAUACCAAUGGCUCUUUGUUGCUCUCUUCGUUGGACGUGCAUUAUGAUUGUGGCUCUUAGUCCAUUCUGGAUUAUGGGUGUGAUUGUGGUAUUAGGGAAUUUUACUCCUUCCUUUCCUUCGGUAUCAAUAAAGUCAAUGUCGGUCACCGUUGUCAACAUCACCUCCGAGACUCAGGUAAUGGCCAAUUUGGAGGUGAAUUUUUGGGUGGAAAAUAAUAAUCAGAGAACCAUGGUUUAUGACAAUGUCAAAAUCUUAGCCUACCAUUUUAAAAAAAGUGAGACGAGUUAUUAUUACAAAACAAAAUAUUAUUACAAACCAGUAUAUUCAGAUGAAAAGUUGAUCGAUACAUUCAGUCUCCCACUAUUUGAGCAGCAAGGAAAUACAAAUAUUACAGCGGUGGUUCGAAUGGACAAUGUGUCAACUGAAGUGGAUAGCUUGAAUGAGUUUAAUACUGAAGGAACUACACAUCUCUCCUUUGAGUGGAUGACUUUUGUGAGGAUGAAAAAAGGAAAGUGGUUGAAGUCUAAAAGUAAUAUGCAUGUGGAUUGUGAAAUAUUGGACGUAGUGUUUCCAUUGAAUCGAACAAAGAGAUUUGACUUCGAACCGCUCAACACAUGUGACGUUGAUGGAAAGUGGGGAAGCAUACAGACAUUAUUGUUAUCGUUAUUUUGGAUAAUUUUAGUGGUUACCUUACUUGCGUGUUUAUGCGGUGGUGCAGUAGGUGGUUGACCUGACACAUAGGCUUUAUGCCUUUUGAUGAUUAAUGAGGAUUAUUUUGGACAAAUAUAGACAACAUAGAUACCAUAGUUAGAAUGUUUUUUAUCCACCUAGGAUUCUUUUUUAUUAUUGUUUUUUGGCCAUAUUUUUUAUUAUUAUUUAUUAAUAUAGAAUUUGUAGACUUUUUAAGUUCUUUUUAUAAGAAUAAUUAUUAAGAUA